GGUUCCCAAGGCACUGGGAGACCCAGUAUCAGGCUGGUGUGAAAUGGCCAGGGCUGUGGAUGGUGGUGUGGCCAAGGAGGGGGACUGAGUGGACAGCUUUACACAUCUCAGCAGAAGGCUCCUCUGGAAACCACCAGUUAAAAGUUUGGGUAAGUCACCAGCCCCACCUCAAGAUACAGCUGGACACUUGGUGUUGGAGGCAGCCAGGCUGCAGCAGCGUGUGAGGUAAUGGGAAGUGAACUUGACAUCGGAGAUCAGCUUGCCUGAAUAGAGGAAAUCAGACCCAGAGCCUCGCCAGGGUUCAGCUCCGCAGUAAAUGACAUCGUAAGGUUUUUUCUGGGGUGUCUUGGAUAGGACUUCAAGGAUAGGUAUGAUUGUUGAAGUGAGGUCCACAGGAUUAUGGAGUUCAGCUGGGUCACUUGGGAAGACCCAACGUCAUCACGGGAGACAGAGGAAGCCAUGACACAAGGAGAUGAGGAGACCAUGUGACAAUGGAGGCUGCAACCACAGUCACUGAGCUGGAAGACUUCAGUGGGUUUCCAGUGGACCACAGGAGCUGGGCAGGUGAUUGCCAGUCUACUCCCGCAUCCUUACUGCCCAGGGCCAGUCUGACUGGACUCACCCUUUCACCAUGGGGACCACAGAUGCUUCCCACAUCCCUUAGAA